rnacentral:rRNA from 1 species
GAUGAACGCUGGCGGCGUGCCUAAUACAUGCAAGUCGAGCGAACGGACGAGAAGCUUGCUUCUCUGAUGUUAGCGGCGGACGGGUGAGUAACACGUGGAUAACCUACCUAUAAGACUGGGAUAACCUCGGGAAACCGUAGCUAAUACCGGAUAAUAUUUUGAACCGCAUGGUUCAAAAGUGAAAGACGGUCUUGCUGUCACUUAUAGAUGGAUCCGCGCUGCAUUAGCUAGUUGGUAAGGUAACGGCUUACCAAGGCAACGAUGCAUAGCCGACCUGAGAGGGUGAUCGGCCACACUGGAACUGAGACACGGUCCAGACUCCUACGGGAGGCAGCAGUAGGGAAUCUUCCGCAAUGGGCGAAAGCCUGACGGAGCAACGCCGCGUGAGUGAUGAAGGUCUUCGGAUCGUAAAACUCUGUUAUUAGGGAAGAACAUAUGUGUAAGUAACUGUGCACAUCUUGACGGUACCUAAUCAGAAAGCCACGGCUAACUACGU